UCUGGCGGCGUGCUUAACACAUGCAAGUCGAACGGAAAGGCCCUGCUUUUGUGGGGUGCUCAAGUGGCGAACGGGUGAGUAACACGUGAGUAACCUGCCCUUGACUUUGGGAUAACUUCAGGAAACUGGGGCUAAUACCGGAUAGGAGCUCCUGCUGCAUGGUGGGGGUUGGAAAGUUUCGGCGGUUGGGGAUGGACUCGCGGCUUAUCAGCUUGUUGGUGGGGUAGUGGCUUACCAAGGCUUUGACGGGUAGCCGGCCUGAGAGGGUGACCGGCCACAUUGGGACUGAGAUACGGCCCAGACUCCUACGGGAGGCAGCAGUGGGGAAUAUUGCACAAUGGGCGGAAGCCUGAUGCAGCAACGCCGCGUGCGGGAUGACGGCCUUCGGGUUGUAAACCGCUUUCGCCUGUGACGAAGCGUGAGUGACGGUAAUGGGUAAAGAAGCACCGGCUAACUACGUGCCAGCAGCCGCGGUGAUACGUAGGGUGCGAGCGUUGUCCGGAUUUAUUGGGCGUAAAGGGCUCGUAGGUGGUUGAUCGCGUCGGAAGUGUAAUCUUGGGGCUUAACCCUGAGCGUGCUUUCGAUACGGGUUGACUUGAGGAAGGUAGGGGAGAAUGGAAUUCCUGGUGGAGCGGUGGAAUGCGCAGAUAUCAGGAGGAACACCAGUGGCGAAGGCGGUUCUCUGGGCCUUUCCUGACGCUGAGGAGCGAAAGCGUGGGGAGCGAACAGGCUUAGAUACCCUGGUAGUCCACGCUGUAAACGGUGGGUACUAGGUGUGGGGUCCAUUCCACGGGUUCCAUGCCGUAGCUAACGCUUUAAGUACCCCGCCUGGGGAGUACGGCCGCAAGGCUAAAACUCAAAGGAAUUGACGGGGCCCCGCACAAGCGGCGGAGCAUGCGGAUUAAUUCGAUGCAACGCGUAGAACCUUACCUGGGUUUGACAUGGAUCGGGAGUGCUCAGAGAUGGGUGUGCCUCUUUUGGGGUCGGUUCACAGGUGGUGCAUGGCUGUCGUCAGCCCGUGUCGUGAGAUGUUGGGUUAAGUCUCGCAACGAGCGCAACCCUUGUUCACUGUUGCCAGCACGUUAUGGUGGGGACUCAGUGGAGACCGCCGGGGUCAACUCGGAGGAAGGUGGGGAUGACGUCAAGUCAUCAUGCCCCUUAUGUCCAGGGCUUCACGCAUGCUACAAUGGCUGGUACAGAGAGUGGCGAGCCUGUGAGGGUGAGCGAAUCUCGGAAAGCCGGUCUCAGUUCGGAUUGGGGUCUGCAACUCGACCUCAUGAAGUCGGAGUCGCUAGUAAUCGCAGAUCAGCAACGCUGCGGUGAAUACGUUCCCGGGGCUUGUACACACCGCCCGUCAAGUCAUGAAAGUUGGUAACACCCGAAGCCGGUGGCCUAACCGUUGUGGGGGAGCCGUCGAAGGUGGGACUGGUGAUUAGGA
rnacentral:rRNA from 1 species